AUCUUUUGCGCAGAGGCAGUAUCGUAGCCAAUGUGAGGUUUAUCCGAGGCGGCGUUAUUGCUUAGUUGAAACUUAUCCCAUACCCGCUCUGACGAGUGAAAUAACGUCGCGGCUGUAGCAAUUUUCCAAGAUCUCAAAGAGA
rnacentral:snRNA from 1 species